UGAACCGUGGCGGGAGAGUCCUCCAGCUAUUUGGUGGCGCCGUAGGAGCAAAUCCUCCCCAGGAAUCUCUCAGGCACCCGUACCGCCACGGCGAG
rnacentral:ncRNA from 2 species